GACGAACGCUGGCGGCGUGCUUAACACAUGCAAGUCGAACGGUGAAGCACCUUCCUUUUGGUGGGUGUGGAUGAGUGGCGAACGGGUGAGUAACACGUGAGUAACCUGCCCCCUUCUUCUGGAUAACCGCAUGAAAGUGUGGCUAAUACGGGAUAUUCUGUGCCUGCUGCAUGGUGGGUGUGGGAAAGAUGCGCUUUUGGGUGUUUUUGGUGGGGGAUGGGCUCGCGGCCUAUCAGCUUGUUGGUGGGGUGAUGGCCUACCAAGGCGGUGACGGGUAGCCGGCCUGAGAGGGUGGACGGUCACACUGGGACUGAGACACGGCCCAGACUCCUACGGGAGGCAGCAGUGGGGAAUAUUGCAGAAUGGGCGCAAGCCUGAUGCAGCGACGCCGCGUGAGGGAUGGAGGCCUUCGGGUUGUAAACCUCUUUCGCCAGUGAAGCAGGCCUGUCCCUUGUGGGUGGGUUGACGGUAGCUGGAUAAGAAGCGCCGGCUAACUACGUG
rnacentral:rRNA from 1 species